rnacentral:rRNA from 1 species
CGUCAAAUCAUCAUGCCCCUUAUGUCUUGGGCUACACACGUGCUACAAUGGCCGCAACAGAGGGCAGCGAGAGGGUGACCUUCAGCAAAUCUCAAAAAAGCGGUCUCAGUUCGGAUCGUGGGCUGCAACCCGCCCACGUGAAGUCGGAGUUGCUAGUAAUCGCGAAUCAGCAUGUCGCGGUGAAUGCGUUCCCGGGCCUU